GAGCGCGCCUUCACCUGUCCAGUUCAGGGGAAAGGGCUUCUGCCUGWGCUACACUGGCUCACGGGUGAGCUAACGCGCUGAGGAAUCUACCCAUAAGCACUGGGAUAACAUGCCGAAAGGUGUGCUAAUACUGGAUGUGUUUCACAGGCGCAUGCUUGUGGAGCUUAAGGUGUGGGGCAACCUGUCGCUUAUGGAUGACCUCGCGUCCGAUUAGCUAGUUGGUGGGGUAAUGGCCUACCAACGGCGACAGAUCGGUAGCCGGCCUGAGAGGGUGGCCGGCCACACUGGAACUGARACACGGUCCAGACUCCUACGGGAGGCAGCAGUGGGGAAUCUUGCGCAAUGGGGGCAACCCUGACGCAGCGAUGCCGCGUGGACGAACAAGGCCUUCGGGUCGUAAAGUCCUUUCRCUGGGGAAGAAAGCUAUUAGUAGUAACUGACUAAUAGCUGACGGUACCCAGAUAAGCAGCCCCGGCUAACUCCGUGCCAGCAGCCGCGGUAAUACGGAGGGGGCAAGCGUUGUUCGGAAUUACUGGGCGUAAAGCGCACGUAAGCGGUUUUGUAAGUCUGGGGUCAAAGCGCGACAGCUCAACUGUC
rnacentral:rRNA from 1 species